CUUGAGCGUGCCCAGCCAGAGCGGGUUGUCCUUGUCGCGGGCGCGGCCGUAGGUGGCCAGCAGGGCCUGCGCCUC
rnacentral:antisense_RNA from 1 species